UCCAACCGUUCGAACACGUCCUUGUAGUCGGCUGAGAGGACCAGCUGAGAGCAACAACAAAUUUCUUCCCAAAUUCUCAAAUUUUGCGAAAAUGUGGUACGAAAUUAUACCCAGCUUGGCCGCCGUGACUACCUUCCUUGGCGUCCCCACUUUGUUGAUUGCUGGUAUUCAUAAAGUUGCGUAUGGCAAUCUGUACCAGCGAGACUUGAACGAGGAAAGGCAGAGAUUCAUGUUUCUCCGGGAUGAACGCUUAACAGGCAGUGGAUUCAAGCAUUUUGGUCUCGAAAACAUCCCAGAUGAAGAAACCUCUGAAUAAGGACUUUUAUGUUGUAUAAAAUUAUAUAGUUUAGCUGUAUAUAACAAGAUCACUUAUGGUUCUUUGUAAUGCUGAUGAUUAUUAAAUUAUAGACUCUUUAAAA